rnacentral:rRNA from 1 species
UACAGAGGUCCCGAGCGUUGCUCGGAAUCACUGGGCGUAAAGGGUGCGUAGGCGGGUCUUUAAGUCAGGGGUGAAAUCCUGGAGCUCAACUCCAGAACUGCCUUUGAUACUGAAGAUCUUGAGUUCGGGAGAGGUGAGUGGAACUGCGAGUGUAGAGGUGAAAUUCGUAGAUAUUCGCAAGAACACCAGUGGCGAAGGCGGCUCACUGGCCCGAUACUGACGCUGAGGCACGAAAGCGUGGGGAGCGAACAGG